AUUGAACGCUGGCGGCAGGCCUAACACAUGCAAGUCGAGCGGAAACGAGUUAUCUGAACCUUCGGGGAACGAUAACGGCGUCGAGCGGCGGACGGGUGAGUAAUGCCUAGGAAAUUGCCCUGAUGUGGGGGAUAACCAUUGGAAACGAUGGCUAAUACCGCAUGAUGCCUACGGGCCAAAGAGGGGGACCUUCGGGCCUCUCGCGUCAGGAUAUGCCUAGGUGGGAUUAGCUAGUUGGUGAGGUAAGGGCUCACCAAGGCAACGAUCCCUAGCUGGUCUGAGAGGAUGAUCAGCCACACUGGAACUGAGACACGGUCCAGACUCCUACGGGAGGCAGCAGUGGGGAAUAUUGCACAAUGGGCGCAAGCCUGAUGCAGCCAUGCCGCGUGUAUGAAGAAGGCCUUCGGGUUGUAAAGUACUUUCAGUCGUGAGGAAGGCGUUGUCGUUAAUAGCGGCAUCGUUUGACGUUAGCGACAGAAGAAGCACCGGCUAACUCCGUGCCAGCAGCCGCGGUAAUACGGAGGGUGCGAGCGUUAAUCGGAAUUACUGGGCGUAAAGCGCAUGCAGGUGGUUUGUUAAGUCAGAUGUGAAAGCCCGGGGCUCAACCUCGGAAUAGCAUUUGAAACUGGCAGACUAGAGUACUGUAGAGGGGGGUAGAAUUUCAAGUGUAGCGGUGAAAUGCGUAGAGAUCUGAAGGAAUACCGGUGGCGAAGGCGGCCCCCUGGACAGAUACUGACACUCAGAUGCGAAAGCGUGGGGAGCAAACAGG
rnacentral:rRNA from 1 species